UACGGAGGGUGCAAGCGUUAUCCGGAUUCACUGGGUUUAAAGGGUGCGUAGGCGGGUUGGUAAGUCCGUGGUGAAAUCUCCAAGCUUAACUUGGAAACUGCCGUGGAUACUAUCAAUCUUGAAUAUCGUGGAGGUAAGCGGAAUAUGUCAUGUAGCGGUGAAAUGCUUAGAUAUGACAUAGAACACCAAUUGCGUAGGCAGCUUACUACACGAUCAUUGACGCUGAGGCACGAAAGCGUGGGGAGCAAGCAGG
rnacentral:rRNA from 1 species